GACGAACGCUGGCGGCGUGCCUAAUACAUGCAAGUCGAACGAACUCUGGUAUUGAUUGGUGCUUGCAUCAUGAUUUACAUUUGAGUGAGUGGCGAACUGGUGAGUAACACGUGGGAAACCUGCCCAGAAGCGGGGGAUAACACCUGGAAACAGAUGCUAAUACCGCAUAACAACUUGGACCGCAUGGUCCGAGCUUGAAAGAUGGCUUCGGCUAUCACUUUUGGAUGGUCCCGCGGCGUAUUAGCUAGAUGGUGAGGUAACGGCUCACCAUGGCAAUGAUACGUAGCCGACCUGAGAGGGUAAUCGGCCACAUUGGGACUGAGACACGGCCCAAACUCCUACGGGAGGCAGCAGUAGGGAAUCUUCCACAAUGGACGAAAGUCUGAUGGAGCAACGCCGCGUGAGUGAAGAAGGGUUUCGGCUCGUAAAACUCUGUUGUUAAAGAAGAACAUAUCUGAGAGUAACUGUUCAGGUAUUGACGGUAUUUAACCAGAAAGCCACGGCUAAUUACGUGCCAGCAGCCGCGGUAAUACGUAGGUGGCAAGCGUUGUCCGGAUUUAUUGGGCGUAAAGCGAGCGCAGGCGGUUUUUUAAGUCUGAUGUGAAAGCCUUCGGCUCAACCGAAGAAGUGCAUCGGAAACUGGGACUUGAUUGCAAAGAAGACGUGGAAUCCUGUGAACGGGAUGUAGCGGUGAAAUGCGUAGAUAUAUGGAAGAACACCAGUGGCGAAGGCGGCUGUCUGGUCUGUAACUGACGCUGAGGCUCGAAAGUAUGGGUAGCAAACAGGAUUAGAUACCCUGGUAGUCCAUACCGUAAACGAUGAAUGCUAAGUGUUGGAGGGUUUCCGCCCUUCAGUGCUGCAGCUAACGCAUUAAGCAUUCCGCCUGGGGAGUACGGCCGCAAGGCUGAAACUCAAAGGAAUUGACGGGGGCCCGCACAAGCGGUGGAGCAUGUGGUUUAAUUCGAAGCUACGCGAAGAACCUUACCAGGUCUUGACAUACUAUGCAAGUCUAAGAGAUUAGACGUUCCCUUCGGGGACAUGGAUACAGGUGGUGCAUGGUUGUCGUCAGCUCGUGUCGUGAGAUGUUGGGUUAAGUCCCGCAACGAGCGCAACCCUUAUUAUCAGUUGCCAGCAUUAAGUUGGGCACUCUGGUGAGACUGCCGGUGACAAACCGGAGGAAGGUGGGGAUGACGUCAGAUCAUCAUGCCCCUUAUGACCUGGGCUACACACGUGCUACAAUGGAUGGUACAACGAGUUGCGAACUCGCGAGAGUAAGCUAAUCUCUUAAAGCCAUUCUCAGUUCGGAUUGUAGGCUGCAACUCGCCUACAUGAAGUCGGAAUCGCUAGUAAUCGCGGAUCAGCAUGCCGCGGUGAAUACGUUCCCGGGCCUUGUACACACCGCCCGUCACACCAUGAGAGUUUGUAACACCCAAAGUCGGUGGGGUAACCUUUUAGGAACCAGCCGCCUAAGGUGGGACAGAUGAUUAGGGUG
rnacentral:rRNA from 1 species